CAAGUGUAAGAGACUAUUCUUUUAUAUCAUUGACUCAAAGUUUGCUGAGGAACAAGUCCAGGCAAGUCCUGGGCAAAGGCAGAGAAAUCUUUUGUCUUGAGGACACUGAUGGACAGGUCCUGGCUAAGGAUUGUGAAAUCCUUUAAGGAGCACAGAUGGACAAGGCCAGGGGCAUCGAGAGAGAGAUAAGCUGCCGCUAAUGGCCGGUAAACGGUCUUUUUGUGUGGACUUAUCUCAAGGAAAAUGGCCAUCUCAGGAGGUAUGCACAUGACUCUUGCUCAAGCACCCAGGAAUGUCACGUAGGCAGCAGAAGAUGGAGGAUAAAAGAGGGUCCAAUAACCACAACGGUGGAAGCUGAUCCUUCACCACAACCACGGCAACGGGAGAGGCUUAUCUCUCACCACGACAGACUUGAGGGGUUCUCUGCCAACUGAUCUCUCACCGCAACGUGUAGACGGAUCUCUACGUGGAGACUGAUCUCUCACCACGACACGAGCUUCCUGCCUUCCGAUCCUCCUCUACGGACCGUUUGCUGACGGACUUCCCUGGGCCUGCUACCUGAGACCUGCUGCUUCCUCCCUGACCUGCAUCCUCUCGCUGCCCCAGACCGGCCUCGCUGCUCCUGCCCUUCGGCCUCGGACCGUCGGAACAUCGUGCAACGGGACUGCUGCCGGAUCCUGGUGACUACGUGCUGUUGAUUAAAGCAGUAAACUGGGGAUGAAAGUGAAUCUGUAUGUCUGAAUUUUCUCACUCCAAAAAGUCAUCAGCUAGUACUCAGCUUGUACAUCUGCUAUAAUCC
ensembl:lncRNA